UCGGUUGUCUUUCUGCCUUUUAUUUCUUUCUCUGAAUAAUGGUCGGGACAAAAUUUUGUCUUGUUGUCUACUUCUUUAUCUGAAAACGCUUUGUGUUUACAUUCAAAGGGGUCAUGAUAUAGACACCUAAUUUCGUCCCUCCUCGAUAUCAUUUUUACCCAUUCUACCUUAUCCUACCGUGUACCCUCACCCAUGUUAUUAUACCUUCCAUAAAAUGAUAAAAAAUAACAACCUCUAACUAAUUUUAUUUUUAUUCUAACAACCUAUCCAAUAAAAAAUAAAAAACCACUACCCCACCUACCCUAACAAAUUUUAUCUUAACCAACUCACCCUACCCUACCUCACUACCCUAGAUCCCCUCCCCUUUUCUUUAAUGAAAUCACGCACAAAGAGGGGAUUUUCCAUUGUUUUCUUUCUCUGAACACUACAAUACGCAUGGGAAAGCAACAUAAUUCGUAAAAAAAUACUCCCACUUCAUAUAUCUAUGCACACACACACAAUCACAUAGGUAUACAUAUACUGUCACCACACAGUAAAAAGGAGGGAGGAUUAGGCGCACAGUGAAGAAGAGACAAGGGAGAGAGAGAAAGCACGAACACCGGUUAUGAAAGUGAUCGAAAGACUGAGAAGAAGAUGGGAGGAAAAUCCGGUCAGCUCGCUGGAAUAUACUUUCACCGGUGACUAAGCUCUUUGUUAGAAAAUGACCCGAAGGACCCGAAAAACAGUAGUCGGCAACCAAAUCAACUGCAGUAGUUCACGGGCUGCUUGAAAUUUCACCGCAUACACGCUAAAAUUGAUUAAAACCAUCCUAAACAUCAAAAAACAAAAGUGGGUUUGUCUUUGGGAUUUCGGGAAUCGAGUUUGAGGUCUGUUCGUGGUUCAUGGGUUCAUGAGGCUCCCAUCGCUGUUGAAAUUGGUUCAAGUUGAGUGAAUAAAAUUCUCAUUUGAGCUUCAAUUCUUCUCUUUCCAUCUUUUAUUUUAUUGUUGGUGAUGUUUGAUGCGUUGGAUUGAAUAUCGUUAAUUGCUUGUGUGUGAUGUGAAUGAUGAACAUUGAGUUUACAGGAGUUGUGGAUUGUUGGAAAUAGCAGUGUGUUUGUUAUGUUUGAAUCUUUGUUGUGAGUUGAUUGAUAUUGUUUUCAGACUUUGAAAAGUGAAUUGAUAAUCGAAGCAUGUGCUAAUCAUUGCUUGAGCAUGAAAUUAGGGGGUUGGAAAUUGAAAGAUUGAUUUGGUGAAUAUUUAUUAUUUUGUUAAUUGUCGAACACGAUUGUAUCAUGUUUAGACCAAAAUUUAUAGGCAAAUUCUAGAUUUUGGGGCAGGAAACUCGUAGGAUUCUAAUCAUCGAAUGUGUAAAUGUUUGUGUUGAGUGAUUUUCUUUAUUUUUAUCACAUUUUAUUAAAUGUAUUUAUUUAGCCGGGGAAUGCUCCGAGGCUCAUGGUAUUCAUUCACCGGGGAAUUUCCCGACGUAUUAUGUCUUCAAAGGAGGUUCGCGAUCAAGGCCCGAGGCAUCGGGUAAAACAACAGGGGCGUAGUUAGGAUUAGUGUAGAUUAUAGUAAGAUUUAUUUUUUGAAUUUUUUAUUUUGGACUGUAUAAUUGGACUAGACACUAUAUUUUGAAUUUGUUUUGUUUUGUGUGUUUGAUUGAUUGUUUUAUGUGUUUUUGGGUGGUUUAUACAUUUUAUAGUGUCAAAUUAGCCGAUAUGAUCCACCAAGCGACCGUGGUCAAACCACGGGAUCGAGGGGUGCCUAUCACCUUCCCCUAGGUCAACAGAAUUUCUUAGCCGGAAUCUCUAUUCGCAAACCAAUUUUAAAGAGUCAAAAUCAUUUUGAAAAGGAUUUUCAAAGGUGACUUGGCACACCGAAUUUAUGUCAGGUGGCAACUCUGAAUAAAAAAUAUAAAUAAUCCUUUUUUGAAACAAAACUUUCAUCUUUUGUCACUUUGAUAAUAAAACCCUUUCGAAUUUUAGAAUUUAUCUAUUGGUUAAAAAAGGGGUGUGACAAUUGUUUAAGCCUUGAUUUUGGAUAUGAACUGAAGAGAAGGUGAUUUUUGUUAAUAUAAAUGAAAAGUGGUGAUUUAAAGAGAUUGCAUGGUUUGUUACAAAAUACUUGACCAUGAUCACAUGUUUGUUGAAAUGUUGAAAAGAAAGAAUCCCUGCAUAGUUUGAAAUAUGUUUUGAAAUAUGAAUCCUCUUGUACCGUUUGAAUGAUUUGGUGGUCCAAACACUUUGUUUUGAAUGAAAGUAUUGUAACAUGAUACUAUAUGUCUUAGACAUAUGACUUGCAAGUAUUGGUAUGGCGAUACCAAAGUUAGACAAUGCGAUAACAGACUUAGAACAGAAUAGAAGUUAGAUUUCAAUUAGAUUUUCAGACUUUGAGUUUUGAAAGAUGCAUGUUCAGAAAAGGUUAAAAAUGGGUUUAAGAGAUGUUAGGUGGUUACCCGAAGAAGGCACAAGUUCAGCUAACUCAUUGCCCGAAAUCGUAUUUUUUCGAUAUGGGUUAUUAUGUUCCCCAGAGGAAUUAUACGCCGGUUUAGUGCCCUGUGGCGUAUCAGACUCAGACACUCCAACCUUUGAGGCAAACUUGGGUCGGGGGCUUACCCGUCGAGUAAAUGGCAGAUUCCAUAUAUCCCGUGGAAUAUCAGACUUGUAGGGUGUACCACCUAGCUCAGAACUAAGACAAAGAUGUUGAGUUGAUUUUCAGAACUGUUUUUAAAAAGCCUAUUUACAAUGCCCAUGGAUUUUCAAAUGGUUGAUGAUGACGUACUUUUCAUGAAAUGUUCUCACUUAUAUUAUAUAUUAUUAUUUUAUUUUUGGACGAUUCUGUGUACCAGUACAUUUGUAUUGACCCCCUAUAUUUCAGGAUCCGAGGCUCAAUCUAGUGGUUCCGCUAAGCCGUAGAUUUGUCAGACAGAAGUGUGCAGUUGGUGAGCCUUCCUUAUGUCGAAAAUCCUGUUUUUAGAACAUUAUUAUUUCAUUUUAUUUUGGUCCGACUGGGGACUUUGUCCCAGUCUUUAGACAGAUGUUGGUUUUCACAUUGUAAGAGAUUUUGCAGACUGGUGUCAUAUGUUUCCGAAUGUUAUGAAACUCAAGUUUCGUAUUGUUCAGC
rnacentral:lncRNA from 1 species